CGACCUACUCUAUCUAGCUACUGCUUGGCAGAGACUUAGUGGUCUCAGCCUGACUCACUUACCGGGCAUCCUGAGCCACUGCUGCUGGAGGAGAGCCGAGGUGGAGGCGGGCAGGCGGACGGGCGGGCGAAGGGAUCACUAAUGCUCGUGGCGGUCUGGGUGGAGGGCAAAUAUGUGGCUUUUGUAGCCAGGCUCCUAAGUUGGAUGGCUUGUUUCUGAGGUUGGGAAUUCAGCUCAUCAGAGCGCGAGACUGAGAGAGUGAGUGAGUGACCGAGUGGUGAUGUGUGUAUGUAUAAGCAGGGAGAGACACGCAGGCAGAGAAAUAUUAGGGAGGGAGGGAGGCGGGAAGGAGGGAGGAGUGAAGGGUGGGAGGAGGGGGAGGAGGAAAGAAGUAGUGGAGUUUAGGACGCGUUUCCUGCACUUCCCAGAGAGGCAGAGGCCAGGUGCAGCAGGGCGCGUUCCCGCAGCUAGGAAGCGGCACAGUCUGGCUCCGGAGCCCCAGUCCCAGCUCUCCCAAUGCCUUGUGGCUGAGCGCGAGAGAAGGGGGAAAGGAGCCAGAAGCAAAGCUGCAAGUACAGGGCAUCAUCGGAGUAGCGGACUGUCGUAGCAGAGAACGGGCUAACGCCGAGCGCUCCUCGGCUGCUGCAGUCGCUGUCUGGGUAGCGGACGAUCACUGCAGACCCUGUGGGGAAGCAACCUGUCCCCCCCCGCCCCAGGAAGGAUCUGUCUUCUCCUAAACCUUCCAAAAUGCCUAAUCGGAGAGAUUUGUUCACGUUUCCAAUUCAGUUGGUCUCUCUUCAUCCCCUUUAACUCCACCUUGUUUCCUCAGAGAAAUGAUGUGGUGGUGUGUUAUUUAAUUACUCGUUGACAGAUUUAAAUGAUUGCAACAGAUCCACGGAGACUCUUCUAUUGCUUGUCUCCCUCCCCCAUCUCUAAGCCUCCUACCGCUGCGGGCAGCCCACAGCCACCACUGUUGACCCCCAACCAAAGUUUCUCUGAAAACAAAAUUAGCAGUGUAUCAUUUGUAAAGCUGCCUCUUUGGGUGAUUCUGCUUAAAAAUAAAAUAAAAUAAAACCCCCGCA
rnacentral:lncRNA from 1 species